UCGAGAGGCUUCGGCAAUGGGGGAAACCCUGACCGAGCGACGCCGCGUGCGGGAUGACGGCCCUCGGGUUGUAAACCGCUGUCAGGAGGGAAGAAUCCUUUCUGGUUAAUACCCAGAGAGUUGACGGUACCUCCAGAGGAAGCUCCGGCUAACUCCGUGCCAGCAGCCGCGGUAAUACGGAGGGAGCGAACGUUGUUCGGAUUCACUGGGCGUAAAGGGCGUGUAGGCGGUUUGGCAAGUCAGAGGUGAAAUACCUCGGCUCAACCGAGGACCUGCCUUUGAAACUACCGAACUUGAGGCCGUGAGAGGAGACUGGAAUUCCUAGUGUAGCGGUGAAAUGCAUAGAUAUUAGGAAGAACACCAGUGGCGAAGGCGAGUCUCUGGCACGGUUCUGACGCUGAGGCGCGAAAGCUAGGGGAGCGAACGGGAUUAGAUACCCCCGUAGUCC
rnacentral:rRNA from 1 species